GGACUGUGAUGAGUGUGUGAAAGGUCUCGUUCGUCGUAAUGGCAUCAUUUGCCUUGCCGACCAUCCUGUUAUAUCACCACCCAUAUUCUGAGUCC